CGUUGGGAGACGCCAAGCGGAGCGGUUCACUCGGUCGCUCCGUACUACAGGAUAUUCUAGCCCGAGUUGGGAACAUAUCCUGUUUCUUUAACAUCUAUUCCUUUUUUUCCAUUUUCCUUUCUUCUUUUCCUUUCUGCUCCUUCUUUUCCUUCCUUCCUCUUCUUUUCCUUUCUUUUUGGCUCUCCGAGAAUUAAUAGUAGUCUUAAAGACUACCAACGAACUCCGCAGUAUAUAGAAUCAGUGGAAAUAAAAUCGAAGAUCAGAUUUAAAGUGUGCUGAAAGUGGAAGUUCCGAAUAAAUUCUUUCAAGAUUUCUAUACUAGCCGUGGAAUUAUCUUUGAAGGAAAUUUAAUUUUGUAAAUUCAGUUCAACUUUUUGCGGAAUUAAAAUUGGAGAUUUGGUGAAAGAACAAUAUUUUGGAUUUUAAUUCUCGGGAAAGAUCGAUCGGAAUUCAUAUAAUGGACACAAAACAUCGCGGAUACCAUUGAAUAACAUCUAUUCUUACACCAAGGACACACGAAUGUAAACAUCAAUCAUCAAGGUUCUAUCAAACCGAGUGAAAAAUAUUUGAAAUGAAAUAUCCUGAUUUCGGGAUUUCCCGAAGCAUUGGAUAGAUGGUGUUGUUUUGAUCAUGUUUCACCUGUGAUGUAUUUUGAAUUUGAAAGAGAAAAGAAUUGAGAAUUUGAACUAUUCGGUACUGCCCCCUGGGGGGUGUAACCAUAACCAUCAAUUACUUGGAGGAGAAAUGGUGCUUGCCUCUACUGCUGUUAGAGGAUAUAACCAAUUACGAAUAGAAUAGAAAUAGAAGCCUACUUACGCAACAAUCCCAAAAAUCAUCCCAAAAUAGAAAAAAGGUGACGCAGAAUCUAGCAGUUACACCUUACGCGCUGAUGAUUAUUUGCCUGAAGGAUAAGAAAAAGCAUGCUGGAAUCUUCUCUCAGGUAAAGAAGGAUGGCCGCUGCGAACAGGAAAAGAACAGGGACGAUAGGACACAGGGAAUCUACGUAAGGAACGCAGGCGAGGGACUCCACAGAAACAAGCCCCGCAUCAGCAUAACCGCAGUUAUCGGACGGCGACGAUGCAUGAGGCAGGAAGAAAGCUGGACCAGGCAUCGAUCUGAGAGGAAGGGGAUGAGUGCUUAGGUCGGACCGACAACCCGCGCCCUACACAUUAGUGAUGCUGGGAAAUACAGGAAGCCCUGCAAUAACUCAAGGACUCAAUUCAGGGGUACCUGGGAAAAGUAAAGUGUCUUAGUAUCACGGGGUAAAACACGAAUCCCCUUCCUCAUCCUAAACCUGCAACGAGGGAAAAAUGAUACGAAAGGAAAAUGAUAAAAAAAGAAAAGGAAGGCAGUCGAGUGCGAAGAGCCGAGAGAAGCGGUUGGGACGCUUGAGCGGCACCUGCCCCGAGCGUAAGGCCCGGCCAUCCCUGACCGGUGCAUGCCCUAUGGCCUGAGUCAGUGAGAAUAUGGAGGCUAGCCCUACUAUCGCCCUAGAAAAUACCCAAGUCUGUACCUAGAAGUCGCGCACCAGUACGAGGUCGGGACAAGCUAGGGACAAUUCGCGAGUGAGAAUUGAUUGAAUGUGCUACAAGAGGAGACAAACUAGAAGUCCUGCGGCUGAAAUCCAUCCGAAACCAGAGCACAAUAAACGGGGCACGCAGUUGAAAGCACUUGUUUGCAAAAAAAAAUACAGAGAUCCCGUGGCAGAAAAAUCACUACUGUUAAGGAAAGCAGAGAUUCCAGAGGGAGAUAGGUGGUUAGAUAUGGAUCGGUAGUUGGGAAGAAAGUGAAGCCUCAGCAGAAGGUAGAAGGAGCAGGAGAAGAGGAUUUGGGCAAGGCUUUCCUUGGAGAAUUGGAAACAAAAGGUAUGCUCACAACAAUCAACAGGAGACUCUGGACGAGUGAAAAUUCACGUGAUUUUUGCUGAUUUCAUGGGAAUUGUCUCGGGGAGGAUUAUCCUGAGACUUUUCGCACAACAACAAACACAGGGAGCACGAGACGAUAGCAAACGUCAGGGAGUACGCAGUGAAUUCAGGAGGGAGAGAGAAACAAAAAUUAUUGGGAAUUCGACGCCAGCGCCAAGAGGAUUAGGCGAGUAGUCUUGAUACUAUUUUCAAGGACGAAUUCAAAAGAAACUUCACUUGAGGCUUAGGAUUUUUUAUGAAGUUUAGGUAAUCUGUAUUCUUCGAGGGAUUUUCAAGCAUUAAAUUUUUCAUUAAGGAUGGCCAAAUACUUUGGCUAUUUUUGGUUCUAAAUGAAAGAUUUGUAAUGAUUCAAAUUUAAGUUUUGGAUUUUUUGUGUUAUAUCGACCCAGUAUUGUUCAAAAAGUCCGAAUUAGUAUAUUUCGAUAUGAGUGCGGAAACGCGUUUUUUGGCUCAUGGAAGGUUUAUAAUACGAGCCGAAGGCGAAUGAUAUAACUCCACAACCGACGUAAUUUACGUAAAUUACCUCAACGGGUUUUUUACAUUUUUUACAUUACUUCGAAAAGCUGGCAUUUUUCGGUUACUAGAAUGUUUUAUGUUAUUCCGACAGUCGAUGACGCAGUAUUGGACGCAUAAAUAUGAUAAAAAACAGUAUAUUUUGUCCCGAGAACAGAUA